rnacentral:rRNA from 1 species
UACGUAGGUGGCAAGCGUUGUCCGGAUUUACUGGGCGUAAAGAGCGCGCAGGCGGUCGAUCAAGUCGCGUGUGAAAGCCCCCCGGCUCAACUGGGGAGGGUCACGCGAUACUGAUCGACUCGAAGGCAGGAGAGGGUAGUGGAAUUCCCGGUGUAGUGGUGAAAUGCGUAGAUAUCGGGAGGAACACCAGUGGCGAAGGGCGACUACCUGGCCUGUUCUUGACGCUGAGGCGCGAAAGCUAGGGGAGCAACGGGG